UACAGUGGUAGCCGCCUGACCACACAGGCAUCACACUGUUGGUGCCUGAGCUGAAAAUUCCCCAUCUAUUCCAAGGUAUAUGUGCCCAUGAUGUCAGGUACACAGGGACUCCAAGCAAUGGAUUACUGGCCAGGUAGCCAUUGCCUAGGCUAGGUGGCACCCAUAGGGAGAGCCCACGUUCUGAUUGGGUGGCACCAUGGUAGAUGAGCUGCAAAUGAAGCGGAUGAAGUUAUCUCCUGCUAUUGGCAAUACAGCCACAGCAGUCUCUGUGAAAGGACAAUCCUCUUUCAGUGCUGACAAGUAUGACCCUAAAAUAGCCCCUUCCAUGGUUAUACAAUGGAAGGAAUGUAGAGCUAAGCAGCAAGCAGAAGAAUACUCCCUGCAAUACGUAGUUUGCACAAGGACUGAUGGGGAUUCAUUCUUGGCCACAAAGCUUUUAUUCUAUGUAGAAACUAUAGAGGGCAAGUUUGAGGAGGUUGCAGCCAUUUACAAAAUGAAGAGUGGGUUAAUUUUAAUCAAAGCAGUGUACCCUACCCAGCCACAGCCACUGCUCACUUGUAAUAAGCUGCGUGAUGUCCCAGUGACUGUUGUUUCCCAUAAGUCUUAAUAUUGGCCAGGGCAUCAUUUCUUGCUGAGACCUGCUCUCACAAUCUGGGCGUGAUCCUGGAGUGAUGGGGUGUACAAUUUGUCCAUCGUGUACGUAGGGGGCCAAAGGACAAUAGGGUCACUACUGGAGCCUUCAUCUUGGCCUCUGAGGGCAAUUCGUUGCCUGAAAAUGUUCACGUGAUGGUAUACCAUUGUGGUAUAAACCAUAUGUUCUCUUCACACCCUCCCCCCUCAUGUCUGAAAUUUAGCUACAUAUUUUAGUGCUGCAGCACUAGCCCUGUCUAGAGCUUGUGGACAAGUGCUGCAUGCAAAUGGUCCUUGUUCCCCUCCCUCCAUCUGUGUCAUCUGCAGAAAACACCCCCCCCCCCUCCCGCCCCACCACACACACACAAGAUAGCACUGUUUCCCAGAGAGUGAAGAAGAUAUGAGAAUAAAAGACUGGACAAACUUGCUUACCAACAGGCUUAAAAGAAGUAAAAGUGGUUGCACCCAGCACGUACGAUAUGUUCUAUGCUACAGCUGCGACAGUGUCAGCCCCUUUGCCAGUGGUACUCAUGCCCAUUACACCUCCCACAGCGGGCCCUCUGGGCUGCACAACCAGGUCUUGUUCUCCUGGUGGUUAGGGACUCUCCUCUUCCUGCUUCCCUCACACAUACUCUGGGAUUGAUGGCCUCCCGUCCUCUAGGGACAUUGGUCUCCACCUCCCAGCUGGAGAUGAAUCACCUUCCUCCGGCUUAUAUUGCCAGGAAGGGGUCGCCCAGGACAUUUCCUUCCAAGAUUUCCGCCAGUCUACAACAAGACGCCAGUCAGCAGCUAAAGGAGCCACAGGCUGCUUGUAACAGGGUUGCAGUCAUCAUCUUUAUGUGAAACUGAUUAAGAGAAGCCCUUGCCAUCAUAAAAAUCCUCUAAGGGGAGAAAAGACAAAAAAAAAAUUCCUCCAAGAAGAAGGACUUUCCGGUGGCCCCCAUGCCACAACACCCUGUCUGUUUAUUUAAGUUGGAGAUUCUGACAGCCUCUGAGGCCAUAGUUCACAUUACACAAUGGAACAUGGAACCUAUGUAUCAGCAUAAGUAGCUUCGUUGGUCUCUUCAUGGCCUCACAGUACAUAAACAUUAUCCUCCAGGGGAAUCAAAGCAGUUUUUCCACCAUUUGGCAGAGUUAAAUCUUUUAAGCACUUCCCCUGCCUUGCAUUGCCCUUCAGGAGACUUGGUUUCCAAUAGUGUGAACUCCAGCCCUUUGUGGAUAUUGGGGGUAUUACAAUUAUCUGGCUACCUAUGACAUGGUGUCAGGAAGAAUUUGCCCUUAUAUUCUAGACACUCUGUAUAGAUCUUGCAAACUUACUGGUUGAACUUGACCUUUGCCUCUUGAAUGCUUGUACCCCCAUACCCUUCAGUGUGGUGCAUGGAAAUUUCUUGGCCAUUGACCUUACCAUUUGCAGCCUUCUCCCAUCCAUCUACAGGAAAGUCCAGAAUGACCUUUCUGGAGUGACCACUUCGCAAUUUUCCUGUCCCUUCCUCAGCAUCACUCCCCUGCAUGCGUGCCGAGAUCUCUGUGGUGCUUUUGCUUCUGGUGUCGCCCUUGACUCGCCUCUGCAUGGAGAUACCAAUGAGGCACUUCCAUUGAUUUGGCAGCUGAUUUAGCGAUCUCCUGUUCCUCAGGCCUGCCCUGGCACAAGACAGUACCUUUGUGGUCAUCAGAAAUUGCAGAAGCCAUUAUAGAUUGUAGGCAGUCUCCACAGUGUCAUAAGCACUUCCCAUCGAUGGAGCAUCCCAGUGUUGUGAAAUGGCUGCGUACCCUCGUCAGCCACCUGAUAAAAUGAUGAAAACAAGAAUGCUGGAGCACUAAGUUUCAGCCAUCAAACCACAUACCAUGUACUUCCUCUUGUCUAUCCUUUAAUGUUCUAAAACAGUGGUUGGAGUGAAAGCAAUUACCUUUUAUUAUAUGCCACCUGGAGCCAUGUAACACUCCAUUCAGUGAGUGGGAAUACAUCAGUGCCCAAGCCCACUGUCCUGAUACAGCCCCAGGGGCAGACCGCAUCCACAAGCAAAUGAUCAAGCACCUAUCAGUGGACUUUCAGCGUCAUAUACUUGCCAUCUUUAACUGCAUCUGGAGUGAGGGCGAGCUCCCUUCACAAUGGCGACAAAGUAUCACUGUCCCAGUGGUGAAACUGGGUAAGCACUAUCUAGAGAUGGGCAGUUAUCACCCAGUAAGUCUCGCCAAUGUUAUCUGUAAAGCCGUCGGUACACGGUCUGUGCACUCCAGCGUUGAGUGUGCCGAGUUUCUGACAUCACAGUAUGGAAAAAGCACGUUGGGGAGUCUUUCUGAAUGUGCAGAGCAACGUUUAGCAUGUCAGAUAUUCUGAACUUGCGUUUGAAUGUUGACCAAUGAGAUGGAAGAACACCACCUACGUCACAGGCAGAUCGUCUCCACUCAGUAGUGUGAGAACUUCAGAAGCAGAAAUAUGGCUGCCUGGACACAUGACAAAUUGUGUGUGUUAAAAGACGCAUUCAAGGAAGAGCAGUGCUUACAUAAUGUGAAAUGCAAGAACUAUCAUGAUAAACAUUCCCGGUCGGAAGCUCUAAGUAUAGUGUUCCAGAAAGUGAAAAGUGUUUGGCCGCAGUUACAGGACCCAAAGGAAUGCCAGAUAAAGUUUUCCAAUAUGAGAAACAUGUUCAACAUGGACAACAACAAGAAGAGAAGAGAGAGUAUGAAAACCAGAUCAGGAACAGAUGAUGUAUACACACCAAGUUUAUGGUAUUUUAAAAAUCUGCCAUUCCUGGAGGAACAUUAUGUGCCACGGAAAACGAAGGCAACUGAGUACUUGUAUGUAUAACUGUUUCUACACAUUUUGGAAUCAACAGACUAAUGUUAAUUUAUUGCUAGAACGUACUUGUUUGAAAGAAAUUACGACUAUGGAGUACUGUCACUUGGGAAAAAACUCUAGUUGCAGUUUCUAUAUUUCUGUAUCUUGACACCUGCACAGUGGUUUGUGUUUGUUUGUUUGUUUGUUUGAGGCUGUAGCUCUGUGUGAUUGGGGUGGCUGACCUAGUGUGUAGUGCUGGAACUUUUUUGUGGUAAGUAGUCGCUUUUUGGGUCUAUUGUUCACGUAUUCUGAUGUUCGGUGGGGUUUUUGUGUGUUGUUGGGUCGGUGUUAUGUACUGCAUGUGUUGGUGCUUGAGGUUUUGGUAUCGGCUCUAGUGGUUGAUUUAUGUAUUGUAGGGGAAGUACCCGAUUUCAAUUUUUUGGUAUUGUCAGUAGUAUUUGAGCUAUAUAGAUUAUGGAAUGUGUCCGAUUCCAAUUUGUCGUCGUAGGUAUGUGUGUUUUGGGUUUUUGAGCUGCUGUUGACGUAGAUAGGUCAAGAGAAGAGUCCGAUUCCAGUUUUUGUUGUUUUAGGUGUUGGUUUUGUGGUAUCGAUAAUUGUGGUGUGAUUAUAAUUUUAGGAGUAGUAUGUUUUUAUUUUGUGGUAUCAACAAAUGCGGUUGAGCCAUGUAUGUGAAGGGAAGUGACCGAUUCCUGUCGAUUGGGAUCAUGGUGCGUGUAUGUAUUUAUAUUUAGUUUGUUCCCAUGCAAAAACCCCCAAUCUCCCGCGCUGGUCCCAUUACUUUGAUUAUAUUUUUGGAGGGUGAUGUGUUUGUUGGUUUUAUAUGUAAAGCCCUUAUUUCCAAUGACAUUACACUUUAAUUUUAUUGGGACAGUUCAGGCAGCAUAAAUAUAUACUACAGUCUAUUUUCCAAUUAUUGCUUGUGGUACUGUUGUAAAGUAAUGAGUAAGUGUGGAAGAAACUACAGUUGAGGUUGGUCAGCCAGCCAGCUCAAACAAACAAAAGUUAACUGUCAUAAAGUUUUAUUUCUGUUCAUUGCAAUUUUCAGUGAAUAAUUUCUAUACAGUCUUCACUAAAAUCAACCUGGGUGUUUUGUGUACCACUUUAUUUUAUGUUUCAGUUAGAUGAUGGGGGCACCUCCAGGGAUAGUGAUCCAGCUCCAGCAUAUUGUGAACUGGAGGCGGACAGUGCAACUAACAACAUUGAGGAUGUCUGCAGUUACAGUAGUAUCAGUAUGUUUGUAGCAAAUGAUCAAGCAUCCUCACAGACAGUUCAGGAGUCACUAUUUAUUCAAAUGUCCACACCUAUGUCUUCAUCUAAGAAAAGAAAGUAAAAUGAAUAUGGGUCUGCAGUCACCUGAUUGUGAAGGCACUCCAGGAAGAUGAUGAUAGUGAUGAAACAGAUCUGUUCAUUAAAUUUCUGGGAGGAGAAAUUAAAAAAAAAAA